GAGAAGGUUGGAGGUGGAAGGUCCAUGAGAUGGGGUUUGGUGGUGGUGGUGGACCAGGAACCUCCAAAAAUUGGGGUUUGGAGGUGAUGAUGGACCAGGAACCUCCAAAAAUGGAGGUUUGGAGGUGGUGAAGGACCAGGAACCUCCAUGAGAUGGGGUUUGGAGGUCGUGGUGGACCAAGAACCUCCAUGAGAUGGGGUUUGGAGAUGGUGGUGGACCAGGAACCUCCAAAAAUGGAGGUUUGGAGGUGGUGGUGGACCAGGAACCUCCAUGAGAUGGGGUUUGGAGAUGGUGGUGGACCAGGAACCUCCAUGAGAUGGGGUUUGGAGAUGGUGGUGGACCAGGAACCUCCAUGAGAUGGGGUUUGGAGGUGAUGAUGGACCAGGAACCUCCAUGAGAUGGGGUUUGGAGAUGGUGAAGGACCAGGAACCUCCAAAAAUGGAGGUUUGGAGAUGGUGGUGGACCAGGAACCUCCAGAGAUGGGGUUUGGAGGUCAUGAAGGACCAGGAACCU